rnacentral:rRNA from 1 species
UACGUAGGGAGCAAGCGUUGUCCGGAAUCAUUGGGCGUAAAGCGCGCGUAGGCGGCCCGAUAAGUCCGCUGUAAAAGUCAACGGCUCAACUGUUGAAAGCCGGUGGAUACUGUCGGGCUAGAGUACGGAAGAGGCAAGCGGAAUUCCUGGUGUAGCGGUGGAAUGCGCAGAUAUCAGGAGGAACACCUAUAGCGAAGGCAGCUUGCUGGGACGUUACUGACGCUAAGGCGCGAAAGCGUGGGGAGCGAACAGG